CUCCUAUUGUCAAACCUUGCCCAGAAGCCUGGUAUCUUUUGCUCCCUGCCAGACUUCUCUGUGCCCCCAGCUGGCGGACACCUAGGUGGGCUGGGCUCUGAGAACUGGGAAUAUUCCUUGGCUUGACUGGGGAGUAAGGGGUGCUAGUGCCAGGAGGCCCCCGGGAGACAUUCAGUGUCCCACUCUCUCUGUUACGUUGAGAAGCCGCCCUGGCUCAUGUAUAGUCUUUGCCCCUCAUUCUUGUGUCCAGAUGCAUCACCAGUUGACCUUCGUGUUAUCUUGCCCACGCUGACGUCCCUCCCACGUGAGCAGCUGUUCCGUGGCCGUCUUAGGGCCCCCAGGCCUGUGCCCACAUAUUCUGCCAGAUAAGAUCACCCUUGGUCGUGGAUGAAAUACUUAUUUAAUGAGUGCCUAUGUGCCAGGCUGCCUGGUAGCCUUUUACAAGUUAAUUCUUGUAACAGUCAUGCCUAAUAGGUACUGUUGUUCCCAUUUUAUGGAUGAGGAAACAGAGUCCUCUUCCGUAUGGACAGGGAAAGCCAGAGCUGGGUAAUGGUGAAGCCUGAAUUCGAACUCACUGAUGCCAGACAUGUUGGUUAUCCUUGGUUAUCCAUCAAGCAGUGCAGGACGGCUCUUCUGAAACCAGCUGGGCUUGGCUCCUGGCUGCAGCUGAGUUCAGGUGUAUGUUCCACAUGUUUUAUCUAUGUGUCAUCCUGUUCGGAUGAACAACUGCUCAGGCAUGUUCCUUUCGUGGUGAAUAGCAGAAGUGCAAGGGAGCGAGUAGACACAAGUAAAGUUUCCUAACACCUUGGCUCAGAACUAGCACUAGAACUAGUCACUCCUGCCCACGUUGCAUUGGCUGGAAAAAAGUCACAUGUCCAAGUCCAACAUCAACAGGACAGGGAAAUAUAUUUGCCUCUCUCUCUCUCUCUCUCUCUCUCUCUCUCUCUCUCAUACUUCAAGGCCAUAUGGGGGAAGAGAAUAAAGAAUCGAGAGUGGAAAUCCA
rnacentral:lncRNA from 1 species